GACGAACGCUGGCGGCGUGCUUAACACAUGCAAGUCGAACGGAAAGGCCCUGCUUUUGUGGGGUGCUCGAGUGGCGAACGUGUGAGUAACACGUGAGUAACCUUCCCUUUACUUUGGGAUAACUUCAGGAAACUGGGGCUAAUACCGGAUAGGAGCUCCUGCUGCAUGGUGGGGGUUGGAAAGUUUCGGCGGUUGGGGAUGGACUCGCGGCUUAUCAGCUUGUUGGUGGGGUAGUGGCUUACCAAGGCUUUGACGGGUAGCCGGCCUGAGAGGGUGACCGGCCACAUUGGGACUGAGAGACGGCCCAGACUCCUACGGGAGGCAGCAGUGGGGAAUAUUGCACAAUGGGCGGAAGCCUGAGGCAGAAACGCCGCGUGCGGGAUGAAGGCCUUCGGGUUGUAAACCGCUUUAGCCUGUGACGAAGCGUGAGUGGCGGUAAUGGGUAAAGAAGCACCGGCUAACUACGUG
rnacentral:rRNA from 1 species